GUGGCGGCAUAGACAUGGGAGGCGGAGGCAUUCCACCUUGUUGUGGCGGGGGUGGGGGUGGUAUCCACAUAGGUGGUGCUGACAUACCAGUGGGAGGAGGUGGCGGCCUUACCAUGCUGACCGGAGGGGGCAUCAUGUUUGGUGGUGGAGGCCUCAUUGGGAGCCUGUACUGGAGUUGCGAUGCCAUGGGGGGCGGCAUAGGCUGUUGAGCGGGCCAAGCAGGUUG
rnacentral:lncRNA from 1 species